AAGUCGUAACAAGGUUUCCGUAGGUGAACCUGCGGAAGGAUCAUUAACACGUAUCCAACGUAAACCCCCCCGUGAACGUAGAUUCCUUCCUUCUCCGCUAACGAACAAUGGUUGCAAUCCCUCGUGUUCGGAUUCUGGGCGUCGUUCCGAUUAGGAACGAGUAUACGUCCCUCUUCUCCCCUUGAAACGACAGGUGGAGCACGGGCUUUUGAUUACAUGCGUCCGCACCUUAACGGGUCCGCUGGACAUUAAAAACUUGAACAACUGUUAACAAUGGAUAUCUUGGUUCUC
rnacentral:misc_RNA from 1 species